rnacentral:rRNA from 1 species
AACGAAGCCUUCGGGCUUAGUGGCGCACGGGUGCGUAACGCGUGGGAAUCUGCCCUUGGGUUCGGAAUAACUCAGAGAAAUUUGAGCUAAUACCGGAUGAUGACGUAAGUCCAAAGAUUUAUCGCCCAAGGAUGAGCCCGCGUAGGAUUAGCUAGUUGGUGAGGUAAAGGCUCACCAAGGCGACGAUCCUUAGCUGGUCUGAGAGGAUGAUCAGCCACACUGGGACUGAGACACGGCCCAGACUCCUACGGGAGGCAGCAGUGGGGAAUAUUGGACAAUGGGCGAAAGCCUGAUCCAGCAAUGCCGCGUGAGUGAUGAAGGCCUUAGGGUUGUAAAGCUCUUUUACCCGGGAUGAUAAUGACAGUACCGGGAGAAUAAGCUCCGGCUAACUCCGUGCCAGCAGCCGCGGUAAUACGGAGGGAGCUAGCGUUGUUCGGAAUUACUGGGCGUAAAGCGCACGUAGGCGGCUUUGUAAGUUAGAGGUGAAAGCCUGGAGCUCAACUCCAGAACUGCCUUUAAAACUGCAUCGCUUGAAUCCAGGAGAGGUGAGUGGAAUUCCGAGUGUAGAGGUGAAAUUCGUAGAUAUUCGGAAGAACACCAGUGGCGAAGGCGGCUCACUGGACUGGUAUGACGCUGA